rnacentral:rRNA from 1 species
AUGGAGACACUCGAAAUACUCAUCGCUUGGGAGAUUUGGAGCGAGCACAACACGAGAGUGUUCAAUCACAAAUUCACUACGCCACUUGUCAUCUUUGAUAGGAUUCGUGCGGAGGCUUAUACUUGGGUUAAGGCGGUUGCUAAACAUUUGAGUAGCGUGAUGCUAGGAGAGUAG